CUUUUUAUGUUCAGCACUUGAAAGUUGCAUUUGAUGUAUGACUUGUGCUAUAUAAAUAAAGUUUGACUGGUUGAUUGAAGAUAAUUAACAUUAGCUUCACGAGUUAUUUGAAGUAAUAACUGUUGCUAGCAGAUUUUAUCUACUGUGCCUCUCAAUCUGGGGACUAGGGUUCAAAAAUCUGCCAAAAGCCAGUUUCUCAUGCUUUCAAAAUCUCCAAUAUCUAUGAAUCAGAAGUUAUCUUAACUUUUAAAACUGCCAUACUGGCUGAAAAUCAACAUAUUUUUCAACUAUUAUUUAGUAGUUCUUAGUAAUUUGAUAGUAUCCUAGUGUUGAAACUCAGUAGUAUUUAAACUCAGAUUCAAAACCUGGUUGGAGCCAUUUAAUUUUGACACAUUUUAAGCAAGGGGCAUUUGUAACAUUUCAAAUUGCACCAAUCAGAAAUGAGACAGAACCAUGAAACUCUUCACGUGCUCUGUGGUGAUGCCUCUCUGCCUGCCAACGGACAAACUGAUGUCUUGUCAAAGUUUUACUGCCAAGACUUUUUUUUUGAGCUGGAGAGGGACAGAGCCGUUGGAUCAAAGUGCAAGAGGAAGAAGAAUUUCACUAAAUCCAAACCCAAACCAAAGAAGAAGAAUGUAAGUAACAGAAGAGAAGAUGAUGAGGAAAGUGAAAAGGAGGUAUUCUGCAUUGUCUGCCUGGAGAGCAGCUCCAGAUCAAGUGAGGUUUGGAUUUCCUGUGUAUCAUGCCACUCUUGGGCCUAUGAAGAAUGCACAGAUGGAAGCAAAUACUGUUUGUGCCAUAACUGUGGAAGCAACUGUGACGUGCUUCACUUCAGAAAAUGAUGAGAAUAAGCAUUUGUUUUAACUCCCAUGUAAUUGUGUUCCCAUUUUGUCAGUUGUCAGUUUUCCAGUUGUCGGGGUUUUUUUUUUUUUUUUUUCUUUUUAUAACUGUUGGUUACAGUUUUUUCUGUUCUCUUUUCUUGAGAAAAAUUUAGCAGGUUGGGAGCAUUUGGCACUUCUAUAAAUGAUCAAGUUGAGAUGUUUUUGGUAAAAUGGUUUGUGACUCACUUCAUUUUGUUGUCAGUUAUGCUGACUUUUUAAUGUUGAUGAGGGGGAAACUUUUUUGUGUGAUGCUGUUUCUGUUGCUUAUUCAUUGGACAUGUUUAAAUUGUUUUAACUAUAUCUUUAUAUCUAUAUUCAUGGGGGUUUAUUGUGGUCCUUGGUAUUUAUAUGGAGGUUUUACAUGUGUUGUUACAAUUGUCUCUGCAUGCGGAGCCAGAUGUAACAUUUGACAUCUAGUAUUUCAGUCAAUGUUUUGACACUAACAUUGCUUGUAAAAACAUUUGAUGACUGUUAACAAGUAGAACACAGACACAAGUUACCUACAGUACAUAAAAAUUGUAUCCAAAUAGUU